rnacentral:rRNA from 1 species
CCUACGGGAGGCAGCAGUGGGGAAUAUUGCACAAUGGGGGAAACCCUGAUGCAGCGACGCCGCGUGAGUGAAGAAGUAUUUCGGUAUGUAAAGCUCUAUCAGCAGGGAAGAAAAUGACGGUACCUGAUUAAGAAGCCCCGGCUAACUACGUGCCAGCAGCCGCGGUAAUACGUCGGGGGCAAGCGUUAUCCGGAUUUACUGGGUGUAAAGGGAGCGUAGGCGGCAGCACAAGUCUGGAGUGAAAUGCCUGGGCUUAACCCCGGAACUGCUUUUGAAACUGUGCAGCUAGAGUGCAGGAGAGGUAAGUGGAAUGCCUAGGGUAGCGGUGAAAUGCGUAGAUAGUAGGAGGAACACCAGUGGCGAAGGCGGCUUACUGGACUGUAACUGACGUUGAGGCUCGAAAGCGUGGGGAGCAAACAGGAUUAGAUACCCUGGUAGUC